rnacentral:antisense_RNA from 1 species
CUAUACCCAAACAACUUGGAGUUGCAGGUAGGCGGCAAGUGAGUGAGUCCCCAUGAGCAUAGAUAGGCUCUAUGAUUGGGGUGAACGAACAUAGCCCCCCCUGCAGCUUCAAGUAGGAAGGG